rnacentral:lncRNA from 1 species
AAAGGCGGAGGGGCUAAAAGCGUAAUUUACCCCUCCACUCAAAAACACGCGAAUCCUAGGCCAGGUCGGGUCGGAGUCGGGUCGGCCUCCCAAAACGACGUCGUUUUGGCAUCUGGGGAGGCCUAGUGAAACGAUUUCGUUUGACUAGGCUAUUUAAGCCAAAAAUUUAUUCAAAAAUUUCAUUUUCAUUCCCCCUUUAAAAAAAACAAAAAAAAUUC